rnacentral:rRNA from 1 species
UGGGGAAUAUUGGUCAAUGGGCGCUAGCCUGAACCAGCCAAGUAGCGUGAAGGAUGACUGCCCUAUGGGUUGUAAACUUCUUUUAUAUGGGAAUAAAGUGCAGUAUGUAUACUGCUUUGCAUGUACCUUAUGAAUAAGGAUCGGCUAACUCCGUGCCAGCAGCCGCGGUAAUACGGAGGAUCCGAGCGUUAUCCGGAUUUAUUGGGUUUAAAGGGAGCGUAGGCGGGUUGUUAAGUCAGUUGUGAAAGUUUGCGGCUCAACCGUAAAAUUGCAGUUGAUACUGGCAUCCUUGAGUACAGUAGAGGUAGGCGGAAUUCGUGGUGUAGCGGUGAAAUGCUUAGAUAUCACGAAGAACUCCGAUUGCGAAGGCAGCCUGCUGGACUGUAACUGACGCUGAUGCUCGAAAGUGUGGGUAUCAAACAGG